UAUAUAUAAGGUAAGUUCUAUGUGCUAGGGGAGGAGAAGGAGAAUGAGAAAGAUCAGAGAGAGAAAAAAUCGAAGAAAAAUCAGAAAAAAUAAUGUAGAGAAAUUUUCUGGAAAUAGAAGAGUACAUUUUUCUAGGGUUCUUGAAGUUGUCAUCUUCUUCAAGUCGUUUUUUUUUCCUUAGUCUGCUUCUUUUUCUCUGUAGAAAAACAUACAAAAAGCACAGUGGUUAGAGUACAUUUUUAUUCGAAUUUUACUUCAUUUUUUCAAGAGAAAAAUCGAAGAAAAAAUUAAUUAGAGAAUCUGAAGAAAAUUUUCGAAAAAUCAAAAAAGAAUAGAAACUUUUAGGGUUCUUGAGUUUUUUAGCUUGAGUCUGCUUCUUUCUUCAGAAAACAUACAUAAAGGGCAUCAUGGUUUGAGUUCACUUUUCUUUCGGUCGAGUUUGCUUCAUCUUUUCAAGAGAAAAAUCAGAGAAAAUUUUCAGAAAGUUUAGUAGUAAAAUCUAGGGUUCUGAGGCUUUCUUCUUCUGAGAAUUUUUUUUUUUUUUUGCUUUCUGAUUCGACAUCUUUAUUGAAAGAAAAGAGAACAAAAAAAAUAUAAGUGAUGAUUUCCAGAGUAUUUUUUGUUUGAAAAAAAACGGUUUCUUUUGGGAGAAAAGCAAAAGUUUGAAGCUUCUGAUUUUUUAAAUUAUUUUUUAUUUAAAUUUCG
rnacentral:lncRNA from 1 species